GGAAAAGCGGAGGGGGACGAGGUUGGGGGGCCGCGGGGGGGGUCCCAGCCUCCAACUGUUCCCGGUGCCGGUGCCAGGAGCGGUGCCCCCCUGCCAGCCCGUCCCGUCCCGUCCCGUCCCCCCCGUGUCCCCCCGCCGCGCCCCCCCCCCCCCCCCCCCCCCCCCCGUCCCUUUUCCGUGCUUACAGCCCCCCCCCGGGAGCCCAAGCUCGGGGGGUCCCUCCCGGAGGGCAGGCGAAGAUCCCCCAGCACGCUUCGACCCAGCGUUGUGCUUUCGCUGCCGCUUUCGGCAGAACCGAGCCGAUCCGGGCCAGGGGGGUCCCGCUUCGUCCCCAAGCCCCCCCACCCCGGGCACUGCCUGAGGGAGCGGGAUCCCCUCGCUGCCCGGCUCCCCUGGCUCGCCCCGUCCAGGCAGCGAGACCCUGCCGAGGGAGGGGGGCGGGCUUGCCCCCCCCCCCCCGGUCGCAGGCUCCUGCCCCGUCCCCGUCCCCGCCGCCCCCCGCUUACCUGUACGAGGCUUCCCAUGGUCGGCGGCGGGCUCGCAGCGAGCCGGGGGCGACGAGGGGGGCAGGGGGCACCCCGGGCGGGGAGGGGAGCAGGCAUGGCCCCCCCACACCCCGGAGAGAUCUGGCUCGGGGAAGAGAAAGGGUGGGGGAGAGGGAAAGCCUUUUUUCCCCCUUUCUCUCCCUGUUUGAGCCGAAGUGACCCGCAGUAUCUGGAGAAGGUUUUUGAAGACGUUUGGGAGGGAGGGAGAGAGUUUUCUGCUGAGAAACUCAAUCUGCCAUACAGUAGCGGCUGCAUCUGGGAUCUGUCACUGCUGACAGCACCACAGGGCACAGACAUGAUCUUCCGCACAACACUGCAACUCCCCAAAAUACCCUCCUUGCUCCCAGGGUGUCUGCCGGGUUGCAUCGCGCUCCUUCGCCAAAAGGUGGAAAGCAACCUGAAUCCCGAGCAAAUAAACCCACCGAGGGAGUGGGAGAGGGAGCAGUACCCCCCUUCUCCUCCUCGGUUUUAA
rnacentral:lncRNA from 1 species